rnacentral:rRNA from 1 species
CAGCCGCCGCGGUAAUACGAACCGUGCGAACGUUAUUCGGAAUCACUGGGCUUAAAGCGCGUGUAGGCGGGCCGUCACGUCGGCUGCUGAAAUCCCCCGGCUCAACCGGGGAAGUGGCACCGAUACGAGCGGCCUUGAGGGGGGUAGGAGGGUCUGGAACUUCCGGUGGAGCGGUGAAAUGCGUUGAGAUCGGAAGGAACGCCCGUGGCGAAAGCGAGGCCCUGGACCCUUUCUGACGCUGAGACGCGAAAGCCAGGGGAGCGAACGGGAUUAGAUACCCCCGUAGUCCCUGUCUCUUAUA